rnacentral:rRNA from 1 species
GAUGAACGCUAGCGGCAGGCCUAAUACAUGCAAGUCGAACGAGAUUGAAGGGCUUGCUCUUCAUGAAAGUGGCGCACGGGUGCGUAACGCGUAUGCAACCUACCUUAAUCAGGGGGAUAGCCUCUCGAAAGAGAGAUUAACACCGCAUAAAAUCACAGUCUGGCAUCGGACAAUGAUCAAAUAUUUAUAGGAUUAAGAUGGGCAUGCGUGUCAUUAGUUAGUUGGUGAGGUAACGGCUCACCAAGACCACGAUGACCAGGGGAUAUGAGAGGUUGACGCCCCGCACUGGGACUGAGACACGGACCAGACUCCUACGGGAGGCAGCAUUAAGGAAUAUUGGUCAAUGGAGGCAACUCUGACCCAGACAUGCAGCGUGCAGGAAGACGGCGCUACGGGUUGUAAACUGCUUUUAUACGGGAAUAAACCUCACUACGUGUAGUGAGCUGAAUGUACUGUAAGAAUAAGGAUCGGCUAACUCCGUGCCAGCCGCCGCCGUAAUAC